rnacentral:rRNA from 1 species
UCUACGGGGUGCAGCAGUCGCGAAACUUUUGCAAUACACGAAAGUGUGACAGGGUUAUCCCGAGUGCCGUCCGCUGAGGAUGGCUUUUACUCAGUUUAGAAAGCUGGGGGAAUAAGGAGAGGGCAAGUCUGGUGUCAGCCGCCGCGGUAAUACCAGCUCUCCGAGUGGUGGGAUGAUUAUUGGGCCUAAAGCAUCCGUAGCUGGCUGGGCAAGUCCCCUGUUAAAUCCACCGCCUCAAUCGUUGGUGUGCGGGGGAUACUGCUAGGCUAGGAGACGGAGAGGCCGACGGUAUUUUCGGGGUAGGGGUGAUUCCUUAUCCCGGAGACCACCAGUGGCGAAGGCUGUCGACUAGAACGCGCCCGACGUGAGGAUGACGUAGCUGGGGGAGCGAACCGGAUUAAUACCCCCGUAGUCC